CUGGGAUCCCGGCUGGCGCGCCCCCUUUCUGCAGGUGUCUAAGGUCUCAGCCGUCAGGCCGCCAGGAUGCCUUCGAAUUCACCUUCCCGAGGGUCCAGGAAGCCAGACUUUUCUAUCUGCGGCCAAGGCAGAGUCUGUGUUAGGGGCUGAGUUGCAUCCUCCUAAAAUUCAUGAAGCCCUUACCCCAGGACCUCAGAAUGAGGCUGUAUUUGGAGAUGGGGUGUUUAAAGAAGGGUUCACGCAGCUGAGCUGACUCACUCCGUCUGGGACUGGGCAUGUGCGUGCACACUUUUCUUUUGGAAAGACAGUUGGGCCAAAAUAGCCCCAGACAUUUUUGAAACGUGAGUUAUUCAGUACGCAUAUAGCUGCUGCUAUGACAGAGCGAGGCCUGCUACGGGGGAGGAAUCGUGUCAAGCUGGUCGAGACACAUGGAAGCCGAUGGAUAUUAAGAAAACCUACGUGAAAGGUUAGCGACAGACUGGAUCAUGGGUAUGUGUGCACGUGAGAGUGUGAGUCGGGAUGUGAGCAUGAACGAGUUGCACUUGCGGGAUGACAAACGCCUCACUUCACGUCAUGGACAGAAGCAGGGAAGCCAGGGAAAAUCCCGUGGACAACGCCUAGGAUGCAGGGAACCUUCCCUCCCGGAUGAUGCUGUGAUGGACAGCUGGGACGAGGUAGCAGGUUGCUGAGUGAUGGGACGACACUGCCAAGGGUGAACUUGUGCUGAGAAAUACAUGUUCAUGGACAUGGACCGUAACUGCACAGAGAGAAAAAUCAGAAUCAUGUGAUACAUCACCACACUGCAUGGAAAGGAAUUUCUUGUUAGAAUUUUUUUCAAUGCCAAUCAUUGUAAAAUGGGUUUUACUUAAGAAUCAGAAGGGAGAUAGUCCUCUGUGUGUGAAACAAAGCAGGCCAUCUAGGCAUUUUCCCAGAUUUUGUGGACGCAAAGUGACAGUGGCCUUUCACAGAGCCGUCUCCGUGCAGAGCUGAGUUGUUCUCCCUGGCUGUUCUGUACCUGUCCUGGGGCACCUCGCCGCCCCCCAGCUGGACCACGGUG